CGGCGUGUGCUCGACCCUUACUCUUUUAUCCACACACCUCUGUGCAUCAUGUGGGGACUUUGGUCCCCUUUUUCACAUAAACACCGAGUAUAUGCAUGUAUAGUACACUCUACGGAGUUAAUGUACAACUUUCAACAACGGAUCUCUUGGCUUUCGCAUCGAUGACGAACGCAGCGAAUGUGCGAAACGUAAUGUGAAUUGCAGAAUUCAGUGAAUCAUCGAAUCUUUGAACGCAUCUUGCGCUCCUUGGUAUUCCGAGGAGCAUGCCUGUUUGAGUGUCGCGAAAUACUCUCGAUUUCAUUUUAAUCUUUUGAAAUCGGAUUUGGGUGUUGUUGUGGGAAUUACACGACUCAUCCUAAAUGCAUUAGCGGUCUGCCUUGAUCACGCGCAAUGUGAUAAUAAAAAGCAUUGUUAGGAUCAAGACGGGUUGCUCCCAACCGUCGAAAGACAACGGGAUAUAUGCGUCGUUUGACCCGCAUAUAUAUGUCG
rnacentral:rRNA from 1 species